rnacentral:rRNA from 1 species
GGCUCAGGACGAACGCUGGCGGCGUGCCUAACACAUGCAAGUCGAACGGAGUUAACGAUGGAAGUCCUUCGGGGAUGGAAGCCGUUAACUUAGUGGCGGACGGGUGAGUAACGCGUGAGUAACCUGCCUCUCAGAGGGGGAUAACGUUCGGAAACGAACGCUAAUACCGCAUGACAUAGUGAUACCGCAUGGUAAUGCUAUCAAAGGAGCAAUCCGCUGAGAGAUGGACUCGCGUCUGAUUAGAUAGUUGGUGAGGUAACGGCUCACCAAGUCGACGAUCAGUAGCCGGACUGAGAGGUUGAACGGCCACAUUGGGACUGAGACACGGCCCAGACUCCUACGGGAGGCAGCAGUGAGGGAUAUUGCACAAUGGGCGCAAGCCUGAAUGCAGCAACGCCGCGUGAGGGAAGACGGUCUUCGGAUUGUAAACCUUUGUCUUUGGUGAAGAAGAAAGUGACGGUAGCCGAGGAGGAAGCCACGGCUAACUACGUGCCAGCCGCUGC